GAAUGAGUCGAUUACAGGGACAAAAACGAAAACAGACAGAUUCAAAUUCUCCAGCUCAAUCUCUGACGGAACAAGAACGUAUACUCUAUAAUGUGAUACGAAGCAAACAAGAUAUGGGCAUCUGGACACGAGACAUGAAAAGAGAAACUAACCUUCCAGACAAUGUGGUUAAUAAAUCACUAAAGGUGCUUCAGGCCAAGAAUUUGAUAAAAGAGGUGGUAAACAUCCAAAAUAAGGGGAGGAAGCAUUACAUGGCAACAGAAUUUGAACCAUCAAAGGAAAUCACUGGAGGGGCAUGGUAUGUUGAAGGGAACCUUGAUACAGAGUUUAUACAGAUUCUGAAAGAGCAGUGCACAAAGCAAAUAUACAAGCUGAAAGUUGCCACAUUAGAGGGAGUUACAGACUCUAUCAAAAGGAGUGGAGUCUUGAAUGUUGAGUUAACAAAGCAGCAAAUUGAUGAAAUUUUGAAGGCGUUAGUUUUGGACAAUGAGAUCAUAGAACUUAAGAGUAAUGGCAUGGGUGAAUUUGCUUCUAUUCCAGUUGG
rnacentral:misc_RNA from 1 species